rnacentral:rRNA from 1 species
CAGCGCCGCGGGAAUACAGAGGGUGCGAGCGUUAAUCGGAUUUACUGGGCGUAAAGCGUGCGUAGGCGGCUUCUUAAGUCGGAUGUGAAAUCCCUGAGCUUAACUUAGGAAUUGCAUUCGAUACUGGGAAGCUAGAGUAUGGGAGAGGAUGGUAGAAUUCCAGGUGUAGCGGUGAAAUGCGUAGAGAUCUGGAGGAAUACCGAUGGCGAAGGCAGCCAUCUGGCCUAAUACUGACGCUGAGGUACGAAAGCAUGGGGAGCAAACAGGAUUAGAUACCCCCGUAGUCCCUGUCUCUUAUACC